UGAUGCAGCGACGCCGCGUGAGGGAUGACGGCCUUCGGGUUGUAAACCUCUUUCGCCAGGGACGAAGCUUUUGGGUGACGGUACCUGGAGAAGAAGCACCGGCUAACUACGUGCCAGCAGCCGCGGUAAUACGUAGGGUGCAAGCGUUGUCCGGAAUUAUUGGGCGUAAAGAGCUCGUAGGCGGUUUGUUGCGUCGGCCGUGAAAACCGGGGGCUUAA
rnacentral:rRNA from 1 species